UACAGAGGUGGCAAGCGUUGUUCGGAAUUACUGGGCGUAAAGGGCGCGUAGGCGGUCUUGUAAGUCUUGUGUGAAAUCCCUCGGCUCAACUGAGGAACUGCACGGGAUACUGCGAGACUUGAGUUCGGGAGAGGGAAGCGGAAUUCCGGGUGUAGCGGUGAAAUGCGUAGAUAUCCGGAGGAACACCGGUGGCGAAGGCGGCUUCCUGGACCGAUCACUGACGCUGAGGGACGAAAGCUAGGGGAGCGAACGGG
rnacentral:rRNA from 1 species